GACGUAGGGUGCGAGCGUUGUUCGGAUUCAUUGGGCGUAAAGGGUGCGUAGGCGGCGCGGUAAGUCGGGUGUGAAAUCUCGGAGCUUAACUCCGAAACUGCAUUCGAUACUGCCGUGCUUGAGGACUGGAGAGGAGACUGGAAUUUACGGUGUAGCGGUGAAAUGCGUAGAUAUCUGGAGGAACACCGGUGGCGAAGGCGGCAUCCUGGACCGGCAUUGACGCUGAGGCGCGAAAGCUAGGGGAGCAAACGGG
rnacentral:rRNA from 1 species